UAACUCAGCUUGUAGAUUUCAUGGUCCUGAGUCUGACGACUCAGUGUUUUGUGUUUCCUCAUGUUGUUCUAUGUUCUUGUUUAUUCUGAUUAUGUCUUUCGGUAAGGUUUGCCAUUUGUUAGGUUUCUGUUCUGUGCCUGCCUGCUCCCACUUCUGUGUCCCCUCUGUCUGUCUAUGGUGUCACAGUGUCUGCUCGUGAAUCUGUCUGUUACGUUCAGUGUCUUGUCUGGUUCUGUGUCUGUGAGUUUCCUGUUUUAUUCUGAAGGUCUCUGUCUCAUGUGAGUGUUCUCAGCUUUACGUCUGUGUCUCGUCAGCCCUGAUUUCUCUCAGGUGUGUUCCCCUCCUGUCUCCCAUCCCAUGAUUACUCCUGUGAGUAUUUAAGCCCUGUGUGUUCUCCUGCUUGUUGCUGGUUUGUCUGUGUUGCUUCCCUGAGUCUCCCUGCGGCUCUGGUCUGGUUUCAGGCCGGCUUUCUUCUUGUUUCUUCACCAGGCUUCUUGAAGGACAGUCGAAAGAUCUUCUUUGAUUGAGGUUCAAGCUCUGGGGAGACUACCAGGACCUGGAUGAACCAACACAGACAUGGUGCAACAUCAGCUGCAUACAAAGAGUCUUCCAUUUGAUUUGUGAACAUCCAUUUUUGUUGUUGUUGCAGUAAAACUCAGUAAACGUGUUGUUUUGUUGCAAUACUGACACCAUUUACAAUGUUAUGACAGUGAAGAGCAGGACGCUGAGGUUGUAAUAAUCAUCUUGUUCCUCACAUAACCUGCUUUUUUUUUAGUCUGGUCCAACUGUUAAA